GCCUGGCUGGCUCAACUGGUGGAGCAUGAGAUUCUUGAUCUCAGGGUUGUGAGUUCAAGCCCCAUGUUGGGUG
rnacentral:tRNA from 1 species